rnacentral:rRNA from 1 species
UACAGAGGGUGCAAGCGUUGUUCGGAAUUACUGGGCGUAAAGCGCGUGUAGGCGGCGAUGUAAGUCGGGUGUGAAAGCCUUGAGCUCAACUCAAGAAAUGCACUCGGUACUGGGUGACUAGAGGACCGGAGAGGAUAGUGGAAUUCCCAGUGUAGUGGUGAAAUACGUAGAGAUUGGGAAGAACACCAGUGGCGAAGGCGGCUAUCUGGACGGUUUCUGACGCUAAGACGCGAAAGCGUGGGGAGCAAACAGG